CACUAAAGGUCAAGGUCUUAUUUUAAUGUUCAGAUUUAGUGUUUGUUUCAGCUUCUUUAUCAAAGCUGGUGAAAUUUAAAAACCGCUUCGGAGAAAUUCUACUUUCUGCAAUAGCAAUGGAAAUAAGCUCAAAUAACCUGCUUUAUUAGAUUUAUCACAAAUACCAACUUGUGUGCUCUAUCUGGCCAGAAUUGUAAGUUUUUUUAUCAUAGGAUUUUCUCAGUCUUGUACAUCUUUUAGUGACUGUCUUCCAGUAUAUUCUUGGCUUAGCAUUAUAGUACAGUAUGUCUUAAUUUAUAAGCAGAUCAAGAAUUAUUAUUUGCAAUUUACUUAACAAUAUUGUAGACUUGUAGGCUGAGGUGUCAAUAGUCAGGAUAGCAAAUCCUACAACCACUGGUGUUGUUUUAUUAAUUACAAAAUAUCAUUAAACUAAUUCCUCCUGUAUAUAUUCUGUGUAUAUUACACAAAUUCCAAGACACUUUAUUGGAGUUCAUGGCCACGCUGUAACGUUUCCUCCUCGGUGACAUAGGGGUGUGAUUUCUUAGACCACUUCAGCCUGACGGUCCAGACAGCUCAUAUUCUGUCAACCAAGGAAACAUUUUAAGUCUUGUGCUUUAAAUUUUCUUUUUUUUUUUCUUUUUGUCUUUUUAGGGCUGCACCCGCGGCAUGUGCAGGUUCCCAGGCUAGGGGUCGAAUUGGAGCGACGGCUGGCUGCGGGCCUACACCGCAGCCACAGCAAGUUGGGAUCUGACCCGCAUGAGCAACCUACACCACAGCUCAUGGAAAUGCUGGAUCCUUCACCCACUGAGCGAGGCCAGGGGUCGAACUGCGUCCUCAUGGAUGCAAGUCAGAUUCGUUUCCGCUGUGCCACGACGGGAACACCUGCAUUCUCACCGUUGCUGCAGCUGCGGUGUCGGUCAUAGCCGUGACUUGGAGUCUAACCCUGGCCCGGGAACUUCCAUAUGCUGUGGUACAGCCAUAAAAAAAGAAAAGAAAAUUUAAAAAUUAAAAAAGUCUUCAUCAAUCUAGUAAGAAAAAGUUAUCUUUAUUAAGGCUUGCUGAAGUAGCCCAAGACUUGGUGGCUUAAACCAAUACGAUGUGUAAGUUCUUAUAAUUCUCUGGGCUGCCGUCUCUCGAAGAAGCCCUGCUUUCUCUUGUUGGAGAAUGGUUUUAGAAACCAAGUUCUGGGCACCAGGGAUGUGUGUUGCUACAUUUCUUUCAGACACCUUUCAGCUGACAUAGAAAUUAAUUUGACUUAAGGCACUGUAGUAGGCGGCCUGGUGUGCCUUUAAAAUUCACAUCCACCCACCAGAAACCUCAGAACGUGAUCUUGUUUAGAAAUACGGCCUUUGCCUCUGUAAUUAAGGUAAGGCAAAGGGGACAGAGUUAGUGCGGGCCUGGAACCCAAUGAGACAGAAGGGGACAUGCAGAAGCACAGGGGAGGAGACAGGGGAGGAGACAGGGCUCUUGCUACCAUCAGCCAAGGGCUGCCGGGAGCGGGGGAAGCAGGGAAAGAGUUCCCCUUAACGAUUCUGGAGUGAACACAGCCCUACAACCACCUUGACUUUGGACUUUGGGACUCCAGAACCUCAAGAAAAUAAAUUUCCAUUGUUUCAAGGCACCCGGUUGUGGUACUUUCUCCCAGCAGCCCUAGGAACUAACCCAGAAGGCUCACGGAUAAAGAUAAUCUGUCCUUCUGGAAGCUUACGCAGCCGGCCGAGAGCUCGGGCUGCAGAGAAGGGGGCAGAGGCGACCUUUUGGAAGCAAGGAUGCAGCGUGCUUAUGGGCAAGGAAAGGCCGGGCUGCUUGGUGCUGUGCUUCCCUGAGCGGUCUGGGGUCUAGGCUUCCCAAGGCCAGGUGAAGUGAGCAGUGAGCAGUGCCCUGCCGGUCUUGUCGGUGCCCUCCUGCAGACCCGUGCCCAGGUUCUGCCUCUGGGGCGUGAGGGAGCGGGGAGAGGCACUUUCCUGGGUAGUCACAGCGUGUCGGGCGCCGUACACAUGCUCUCCCGUCUCAUCCUAUGAAGCAGGCAUGACAAUUGGCCUGUUUUACCAGUGAGAGAACGGAGGGUGAGAGAAGGUAAGCAGCGUGCCCAGAGUGAUGCUUCGUUACAUGGUGAAGCUGGGAUAAGCUUUAAUUCGUCUGAGGCUUUUUCACUAACCGUCCUGAGUUUCCAAAGUUUUUCUGUUUUUUUAGCAGGACAGUCACUCGAUCUGAAUUAUUACUUUUUGUUUGUUUUAGGGAUGCUCCUGUCCCUCACAUCAGUGGGUAAAACUUAAAAUCUUUUAUUGUACGAAUGCUAUAUAUUCAUGACUGAGAAAAUCAGUCAGUCACAAAAGCCCUAAGCCGGUAACUUUGAAACAUACCACCCAGAGCUGGUAAAACCUCAUAAAAGCAAAAUGUGAUUUUAUGUGAUUAAACUGUACUUUUUGAUUUGGAAUCUGCUCUUAAAAAAUGAUUUUUCACUCAGAAAGCUCAUGAAGGUUCGAUGUGUCUUUUCCCUUCCCUUUUUCGUUCCCUUUCUUUUGUGUUACCUUUUGCUGCCACUGUGGUUUAGAACUUUAUCGCCUUUUCAAGGACAAUCUCAGAAUGCCUUCACUGCUCUUCUCUUUGCUUUUCCUUGCCUGAUUCUUUUCAUGCGAUGUCGCUGAUUAGACACACACACACACACACACACACACACACCCCACACACCCAAACCUGAGAAGCACCAUUCUUCACCAAGCUUCACCUGUUUCUACUGCCCCGUGUCUUACCUUGUGUGCAGGCACCUCGGCUGUACGGGAUUCUUUUCUGUUGAUUGGCUGUGCCAUAUGCCUCCUCCUGUAGAACCUUUGUGUAAUAGACCCUCUCAUGAGGGGUAUGGCUUUCCCUCUGUCUCCACUCGUCCACACUCUUUCAAGUUCAGCUUAAAAGCUGCCUUGUCAAUCAUCUCUCUCCUUGCUUUGCUCUUAGGUGCUCUGUCCAGAGAUGAUAUGAUACAUCCUAGAAAAAGAGCUCCUUGAAGACUGUCCUCUGUCUUCAUCGUCGUCGUAUCUCCUGAGCAUUGCUUUUGAGCCUUGUUCAAAGUUUACCUGAAUACAUGAGAUAAACAGAGGAUGCAGGGAGAUGACACAGAUAGGCACCAUAGAUUGGUAGAUUAGAUAGAUGGGUAGGUAGGUAGAUAAAGGAGCAUCAGUGAUGCCUACAAAAUUUACUUAAUGCUAAAAGUCCACAAAAACUAAUGAUGCCAUAACUCUAGGCCUCCUUUUGCCUUUUUAAGGUGUGCGAUACUUAAGUGAUCCAAAGAGAAUGCUAAUACCACCCCGUUACAUUUUUGUGUAGUUAUUUCUGUGUCUAGAUUUAAAAGAUCUGACUUGGUUCUUAAGUUGGCAUUGAAGUGACUGGGAUGCUACCCAGAGAAAGCGGGGAAACAAACCUUCAUAACAGUUUGAAUAGAAUGUAGAGUAGAAUGCCUAAAACAUGUUGCACGAGAAGAUACUAAAGGCAUAUGAUGGCUCUUUAAUUUGGCUCUCGAGGAAGAUUGGGAGGUGGCUGAGGAAAGAAAAGGCAGCAUACAUGCCACAAUAGACUCCUGUCUCUGCAGGGGAAAGCUUGUCUCCAGCAUGGAGCUGCCCUGGAUCUCAAUUCAGAGGAGCUUAGGGCUCCUGUAGUGUUUCCGUCUUCAAAGCCCUGUGCAAACACCAACGAAGUUAAUCUAAUUAACUUAUUAGCUUUUUAAGCUAGUGGUACCAAUUAGUCACCUCAUCAGCCCCUGGCUCGGUCUCAUCACACAGCGCUCAGCUAUAAAGGGGCUUUCAUCAAAACCCCCAGGAGUGCAGCGCAUGGCAUUUGCGUGUGUUUUCCAGAGAAUGGCAGAAAGGAGCAUGUGCGCGGCAAUUACGGGGAACCCUCUCUGGGAGACCCUUAAUCACGGGGACCAUUCCCUUUACCUCUGUCUAAGAGAAGAAGCACAUGUUAGGCCUCAGUGGGGGCAGCACGAACCCCUUCCUUAACCUGAGUCUGGAGAGGGAUUAUAAAUCUUGGACUGAAAUUCCUGGAUGCCCACGGCAGAGAAAGCCUCACCCGCCACAGGCAGUCCUGGCAGGUCUGGCUGUUUGGGUGGUAUUUUUUUUUUUUUUUUUUUUUUUAAAGAGGGAGAAAGAGGGGAUUCAAGCGGAGUGCAAUGAGAAUAGCGAUCCGAAAAUACAGCCCUGAAGGAAGACUUCCAGAGAGACAAUGGGGAAGGAAUAAAUAAAAAGAAAGUUAUAAAUUCAUCUAUUUGCUCUUCUCUGACCCUUUGCUUUUACUCCUCUUCACUGCAACUACCCUGGGAAAGGCACAAUACUUUCCCCUGUCACAAUAUUGAGAAAAAUUGAAACGGGGAAGAAAGACCACCAGAUGCUUUAUUGUCUUAGACGUUUCCACAUAAUUAGCUGGGGAUAAAGGGCCUCUGCAUGGUUUCAUUGCAUUGAAUGAACUUGGAUAUUGCUACACAGUAGUGUGUUUUAUGAUUCAUGCUCUGUUAUCCUGUGGCUUUUUGAAAACUGCCAGCUACUUUAUCACUGCCGGCCAAGCCCGGGCCCACCACUUAAAAUGCAGCAAUGCAAAGUUAACUGUGCAUGACAGAUGUCCGUGAAAUUGUUUAACACACACAUACACGCUCACACAGAGCACAAAGCUGGCUCUGCCCCUCUUACGCGUCCGGCUGGCUCAAUGUCCUUAUUAAACGUAGAUGAAAGUAUAGGGCUAAGGAAGAAAGGAAAAUUCAUGAAACAACAGAAGAGAGAGCGCAUUUUGGACUCAAUGUCACAUCAAAUGCAUUUGGUAUUUGAAAACGCCCUUGAAAAAGUUAGAAAUAAUGAAGUCAUUGGAAAAGCAGAGGACCAGGG
rnacentral:lncRNA from 1 species